GGGGAUAUAGUCUAGUUUGGUAAAACACUAACUUUGCACGUUGGAUUCUCAGGUUCAAUUCCUGAUAUCUCCA
rnacentral:tRNA from 1 species